AGUGAACGCUGGCGGUAGGCCUAACACAUGCAAGUCGAACGGAAGCACAGUAAGAGCUUGCUCUUACGGGUGGCGAGUGGCGGACGGGUGAGGAAUACAUCGGAAUCUACUUUUUCGUGGGGGAUAACGUAGGGAAACUUACGCUAAUACCGCAUACGACCUACGGGUGAAAGCAGGGGAUCUUCGGACCUUGCGCGAUUGAAUGAGCCGAUGUCGGAUUAGCUAGUGGGCGGGGUAAAGGCCCACCAAGGCGACGAUCCGUAGCUGGUCUGAGAGGCUGAUCCGCCACACUGGAACUGAGACACGGUCCAGACUCCUACGGGAGGCCGCAGUGGGGAAUAUUGGACAAUGGGCGCAAGCCUGAUCCAGCCAUACCGCGUGGGUGAAGAAGGCCUUCGGGUUGUAAAGACCUUUUGUUGGGAAAGAAAAGCAGCAGGUUAAUACCCCGCUGUUCUGACGGUACCCAAAGAAUAAGCACCGGCUAACUUCGUG
rnacentral:rRNA from 1 species